UACGGAGGGUGCAAACGUUGCUCGGAAUCAUUGGGCGUAAAGCGCACGUAGGCGGUCCAGCAAGUCGGGUGUGAAAGCCCUCGGCUCAACCGAGGAAGUGCAUUCGAAACUGCUGAACUUGAGUAUGGAAGAGGGUCGCGGAAUUCCCGGUGUAGAGGUGAAAUUCGUAGAUAUCGGGAGGAACACCAGUGGCGAAGGCGGCGACCUGGGCCAAUACUGACGCUGAGGUGCGAAAACGUGGGGAGCAAACAGG
rnacentral:rRNA from 1 species